UGUUUGUAUAGUGUGUGUAUAUAAUGCAGUGUGUUUGUGUAGUGUGCAUUAUAUAAACACACUACACAAACACACUGCAUUAUAUACACACACUACAUUAAA